rnacentral:rRNA from 1 species
CAGUAGCCACGGGAAUACGUAGGUGGCAAGCGUUGUCCGGAAUUAUUGGGCGUAAAGCGCGCGCAGGCGGAUCAGUUAGUCUGUCUUAAAAGUUCGGGGCUUAACCCCGUGAGGGGAUGGAAACUGCUGAUCUAGAGUAUCGGAGAGGAAAGUGGAAUUCCUAGUGUAGCGGUGAAAUGCGUAGAUAUUAGGAAGAACACCAGUUGCGAAGGCGACUUUCUGGACGAAAACUGACGCUGAGGCGCGAAAGCCAGGGGAGCGAACGGGAUUAGAUACCCCUGUAGUCCCUGUCUCUUAUACA